rfam:Rattus norvegicus chromosome 18, whole genome shotgun sequence.
GGGGAUUUAGCUCAGUGGUAGAGCGGUUGCCUAGCGAGCACAAGGCCCUGGGUUCGGUCCCCAGCUCUG